rnacentral:rRNA from 1 species
GCCAGCAGCCGCGGUAAUUCCAGCUCCAAUAGCGUAUAUUAAAGUUGUUGCAGUUAAAAAGCUCGUAGUUGAAACUUGGGUCUGGCUGGCGGGUCCGCCUCACCGCGUGUACUUGUCCGGCCGGGCCUUCCUUCUGGAGAACCUCAUGCCCUUUACUGGGCGUGUUGGGGACCAGGACUUUUACUUUGAAAAAAUUAGAGUGUUCAAAGCAGGCCUUUGCUCGAAUACGUUAGCAUGGAAUAAUAGAAUAGGACGUGCGGUCCUAUUUUGUUGGUUUCUAGGACCGCCGUAAUGAUUAAUAGGGACAGUCGGGGGCAUCAGUAUUCAAUUGUCAGAGGUGAAAUUCUUGGAUUUAUUGAAGACUAACUACUGCGAAAGCAUUUGCCAAGGAUGUUUUCAUUAAUCAGUGAACGAAAGUUAGGGGAUCGAAGACGAUCAGAUACCGUCGUAGUCUUAACCGUAAACUAUGCCGACUAGGGAUCGGGCGAUGUUCUUUUUCUGACUCGCUC